GGAAGUGGUGCAGAUACUGAGCCCCAGCAACAAUCCUGGUAGCAGCAAACAAAAAAUGUCUGUCCUCAUGGCCCCAAGUGUCCAAAGUCCACGCUGAGAUGACACCACACAGUGACAAAGGGACACAUGUUUCAAAGGUGCUCCAGUUGCUGAGUGCUGCACUGUCCUGUCUCCUGGAGGUGGGAUGUGCCCUGUGUUUUGGGAACUAAUGUACUUUUCAUGCCCCUUUCCCUCCUCCCCCACCUCCCUCAGGCACCAUGGUUACUUUCUGCUUUCCACUGCUCCUUCUAGAAUAUUCCAUGUCCUCCUUCUCCCAGAAGUUCAGCUCCCCACCUCCAGGUUCAUUCCUGCUUAUGUACCCUGGAACUCAUGUUGGGUUCAUUCCCUUGCUGUAGGAGAAAGAAACUUUCUGACUUCUUCCUCCCUCCUUCCCUCCUUCUCAGUUUCUCUCCUAUCCUCUCUCCCCUUUCCCUCUAGUCUUUCAUUCCAGGCUACUCGUUGGGGGGUAGGGGGACACCUCCUGGCAUGUGACUACAGAGUGUGUCAUCAUGAUAGUCAUUUUGCAGAGCACACCCUUCUUUUCCAGCCACUUCUCUAGCUUUUCUCUCAUCAGACAAGACCCUAUCCUUGCAGGGAAGCAGUGUAGCUGCCAUCUGUCUGUUUCUAGCUUUCUACCCCAAGGUUGAGAAGCACAAAAGGAAGGAGUGUCAGAGCUCUAGCAUCUAGUCCAGCACUGAGAGAACAGACAGGACCUUUGAAUUCACAAAGAAAAUGCUUAUGUGCCCAGGAGGGGGCACCAUGGAUGAGACAUUGGGCUUUUAAGCAUAAGGUCCCGAGUUCAAUCUCUCAUCUCAUGUGUCAGUAACACUCUGGCCUCUUUCUUUUUUUUCCUUAAAAAAUAAAACAUUUAAAAAAGAUGUUUAAUAUGUGAUGACCAUGUUCAGAAAGGAGAAUUAGCUACUACAUCCCCAACUUAAAAAAUGCACUAGGGGUUAGGUAAGUAGUGCAGCCGGUUAAGGGCACAUGGUAUGAAGUGCAAGGACUGGCAUAAAGAUUGCAGUUCAAGCCUCUAGCUCCCCACCUAUAGAGGGGUCACAUCACAAGAGGUGAAACGGGACUGCAGGUGUCUAUUUAUCUCUCCCCAUCUCUGUCUUCCCCUCCUCUCUCACUUUUUCUCUGUCCUAUCCAACAAAACAACAGCAAUGGCAACAACAAUAGUAGCAACAAGGGCAAGGGCAAGAAAAUGGAAAAAAUGGCCUCCAGGAGCAGUGGAUUCAUAGUGCAGGCAUGGAUCCCCAGCAAUAAUCCUGGAGGCAGAAAAAAUAAAUGCUAACCAUGAUGUGUACUCUGUAUAAAAUACUUGAUGCCAUUGACCGAU